rnacentral:rRNA from 1 species
CCUACGGGAGGCAGCAGUAGGGAAUCUUCCACAAUGGGCGAAAGCCUGAUGGAGCAACGCCGCGUGAGUGAUGAAGGCCUUCGGGUUGUAAAACUCUGUCAUUCGGGACGAACCGGAGUCUGAGGAAAUGCAGACUCUCUGACGGUACCGGAGGAGGAAGCCCCGGCUAACUACGUGCCAGCAGCCGCGGUAAUACGUAGGGGGCAAGCGUUGUCCGGAUUCACUGGGCGUAAAGCGCGCGCAGGCGGUGAUGUAAGUCUGAGGUGAAAACCCGAAGCUCAACUUCGGGACUGCCUUGGAUACUGCGUCACUUGAGGAUAGGAGAGGCAAGGGGAAUUCCACGUGUAGCGGUGAAAUGCGUAGAGAUGUGGAGGAACACCUGUGGCGAAGGCGCCUUGCUGGCCUAUUUCUGACGCUGAGGCGCGAAAGCGUGGGGAGCAAACAGGAUUAGAUACCCUGGUAGUCCACGCUGUAAACGAUGAGUGCUAGGUGUAGGUGGGCUCAUACCCAUCUGUGCCGAAGCUAACGCAUUAAGCACUCCGCCUGGGGGAGGUACGGUCGCGACGACGUAGAACGUACAAUAGAAGUUAGACGGCGUUGAGGACGNGCCGACGGCGACGACGAGGGAGGAGG